AUUGAACGCUGGCGGCAGGCUUAACACAUGCAAGUCGAGCGGAGAUGAGGUGCUUGCACCUUAUCUUAGCGGCGGACGGGUGAGUAAUGCUUAGGAAUCUGCCUAUUAGUGGGGGACAACAUUCCGAAAGGAAUGCUAAUACCGCGUACGCCCUACGGGGGAAAGCAGGGGAUCUUCGGACCUUGCGCUAAUAGAUGAGCCUAAGUCGGAUUAGCUAGUUGGUGGGGUAAAGGCCUACCAAGGCGACGAUCUGUAGCGGGUCUGAGAGGAUGAUCCGCCACGCUGGGACUGAGACACGGCCCAGACUCCUACGGGAGGCAGCAGUGGGGAAUAUUGGACAAUGGGCGGAAGCCUGAUCCAGCCAUGCCGCGUGUGUGAAGAAGGCCUUUUGGUUGUAAAGCACUUUAAGCGAGGAGGAGGCUACCUGGAUUAAUACUCUAGGAUAGUGGACGUUACUCGCAGAAUAAGCACCGGCUAACUCUGUGCCAGCCGCCGCGGUAAGAC
rnacentral:rRNA from 1 species